rnacentral:rRNA from 1 species
GAGUUUGAUCCUGGCUCAGAUUGAACGCUGGCGGCAGGCCUAACACAUGCAAGUCGAGCGGUAACAGAAAGUAGCUUGCUACUUUGCUGACGAGCGGCGGACGGGUGAGUAAUGCCUGGGAAUAUGCCUUGAUGUGGGGGAUAACUAUUGGAAACGAUAGCUAAUACCGCAUAAUGUCUUCGGACCAAAGAGGGGGAUCUUCGGACCUCUCGCGUCAAGAUUAGCCCAGGUGAGAUUAGCUAGUUGGUGGGGUAAGAGCUCACCAAGGCGACGAUCUCUAGCUGGUCUGAGAGGACGAUCAGCCACACUGGAACUGAGACACGGUCCAGACUCCUACGGGAGGCAGCAGUGGGGAAUAUUGCACAAUGGGCGAAAGCCUGAUGCAGCCAUGCCGCGUGUAUGAAGAAGGCCUUCGGGUUGUAAAGUACUUUCAGUCGUGAGGAAGGGUGUGCAGUUAAUAGCUGUACAUCUUGACGUUAGCGACAGAAGAAGCACCGGCUAACUCCGUGCCAGCAGCCGCGGUAAUACGGAGGGUGCGAGCGUUAAUCGGAAUUACUGGGCGUAAAGCGCAUGCAGGUGGUUCAUUAAGUCAGAUGUGAAAGCCCGGGGCUCAACCUCGGAACCGCAUUUGAAACUGGUGAACUAGAGUGCUGUAGAGGGGGGUAGAAUUUCAGGUGUAGCGGUGAAAUGCGUAGAGAUCUGAAGGAAUACCAGUGGCGAAGGCGGCCCCCUGGACAGACACUGACACUCAGAUGCGAAAGCGUGUGGAGCAAACAGGAUUAGAUACCCUGGUAGUCCACGCCGUAGACGAUGUCUACUCUGGAGGUUGUGGCCUUGAGCCGUGGCUUUCGGAGCUAACGCGUUAAGUANNNNUAGACCGCCUGGGGAGUACGGUCGCAAGAUUAAAACUCAAAUGAAUUGACGGGGGCCCGCACAAGCGGUGGAGCAUGUGGUUUAAUUCGAUGUAACGCGAAGAACCUUACCUGCUCUUGACAUCCACAGAAGAGACCAGAGAUGGACUUGUGCCUUCGGGAACUGUGAGACAGGUGCUGCAUGGCUGUCGUCAGCUCGUGUUGUGAAAUGUUGGGUUAAGUCCCGCAACGAGCGCAACCCUUAUCCUUGUUUGCCAGCACGUAAUGGUGGGAACUCCAGGGAGACUGCCGGUGAUAAACCGGAGGAAGGUGGGGACGACGUCAAGUCAUCAUGGCCCUUACGAGUAGGGCUACACACGU